rnacentral:rRNA from 1 species
UACGAAGGGGGCUAGCGUUGCUCGGAAUCACUGGGCGUAAAGCGCAUGUAGGCGGAUUGUUAAGUCAGGGGUGAAAGCCUGGAGCUCAACUCCAGAACUGCCCUUGAUACUGGCAAUCUCGAGUCCGGAAGAGGUAAGUGGAACUCCGAGUGUAGAGGUGAAAUUCGUAGAUAUUCGGAAGAACACCAGUGGCGAAGGCGGCUUACUGGUCCGGUACUGACGCUGAGGUGCGAAAGCGUGGGGAGCAAACAGG